UUCUGCUUUCAGGAAACUUGCAAGUCUGUUUGUGAAUCUCCUAAGAAGACAUCUGAAAACAGUUCUAUCCCAUACAGCUGAACUGGGAGCAAAUUUAAUUCAUGCUAUUUGAAAUCACCCAGCUCUGACUUGGUCUUAUUCCUCCAAAGAAAGCGGUAUCUCCCAGCUUGCUGUCCUCCAGAUGUGGAAGGCUUCACUCCCAAGUUCCCAGUCAACAUGUCUGAAGAUCAAUAAAACUGGAAAACAUCAGACUAGACCAGCCAGAAAGACCUAGAAGUAGAACUAGACCAGCCAGGAAGAAAAUACAAUGUUUUAGUAAUUCAUGACUAGUAUAUAUAUAUUGACUGGUUCAUAAGACUGACCAAGCUAACAAUGAAAUGAAUACUUGUUUAUUCUGUCUAUAUAUUGUAUUGAACAAUAUGUAACUAUUUUCAGAUCUAAUU